CAAAAAUAAAUAAUAUGCAAGAAAGGGAUUAUGGUUCAAGUGGAGAAGUGGUCUUUACGCUUUGAAUUAAAGUGAGAUUCACUCCUCCAACUUACUCCUGAUCCCUAAUAUUCUUCGUUUUUUUUUUUAUUUGUUUC